GGGCCGUUAGCUCAGUUGGUUAGAGCAGCGGACUCAUAAUCCGUUGGUCGCUGGUUCAAGCCCAGCACGGCCUA
rfam:Variovorax sp. JS1663 JS1663_0015, whole genome shotgun sequence.